CAGUAGCCACGGGAAUACGAAGGGUGCAAGCGUUAAUCGGAAUUACUGGGCGUAAAGCGCGCGUAGGUGGUUUGGUAAGAUGGAUGUGAAAUCCCCGGGCUCAACCUGGGAACUGCAUCCAUAACUGCCUGACUAGAGUACGGUAGAGGGUGGUGGAAUUUCCUGUGUAGCGGUGAAAUGCGUAGAUAUAGGAAGGAACACCAGUGGCGAAGGCGACCACCUGGACUGAUACUGACACUGAGGUGCGAAAGCGUGGGGAGCAAACAGGAUUAGAUACCCCAGUAGUCCCUGUCUCUUAUAC
rnacentral:rRNA from 1 species